AGCAGUUAAGAGCUCGGCUUCUAACCGAAAGGUCGGUGGUUCAAACCCACCAGCUGCUC
rnacentral:tRNA from 1 species